GGGGAUAAUAGCUCAGUUUGUAGAGUGUUUGCCUUACUUGCACAGGUCCUGGGUUCAAUACCCAGCACCA
rnacentral:tRNA from 1 species